GCAAGUCGUACGAGAACGCGAUCUUCGGAUUGUUAGUAGAGCGGCGAACGGGUGAGUAACACGUAAGUAACCUUCCCCAAAAUCUGGGACAACCUUUCUAACGAUGGGCUAAUACCGGAUGUGAAUAUAAUAACUCAUGUUAUAAUAUUUAAAGAUGACCUCUACUUGUAAGUUAUUGUUUUGGGAUGGACUUGCGGACCAUUAGUUUGUUGGUGAGGUAACGGCUCACCAAGACUACGAUGGCUAGCCGACCUGAGAGGGUGAUC
rnacentral:rRNA from 1 species